rnacentral:rRNA from 1 species
AACGUAGGAGACGAACGUUAUCCGGAGUUACUGGGCGUAAAGGGCGUGUAGGCGGUAUGUUAAGUCUGGCGUGAAAGCUCUCGGCUAAACCGGGAGAGGUCGUUGGAUACUGGCACACUUGAGGAUGGUAGAGGCGUGUGGAAUUCCGGGUGUAGUGGUGAAAUGCGUAGAGAUCCGGAGGAACACCAGUGGCGAAGGCGGCUAUCUGGACGGUUUCUGACGCUAAGACGCGAAAGCGUGGGGAGCAAACAGG